rnacentral:rRNA from 1 species
CAGUAGCCGCGGGAAUGCGAAGGGGGCUAGCGUUGCUCGGAAUGACUGGGCGUAAAGGGCGCGUAGGCGGUUUGCCAAGUUAGAUGUGAAAUUCCCGGGCUUAACCUGGGGACUGCAUUUGAUACUGGCAGGCUUGAGUGUGGAAGAGGGUCGUGGAAUUCCCAGUGUAGAGGUGAAAUUCGUAGAUAUUGGGAAGAACACCGGUGGCGAAGGCGGCGACCUGGUCCAUAACUGACGCUGAGGCGCGAAAGCGUGGGGAGCAAACAGGAUUAGAUACCCCCGUAGUCCCUGUCUCUUAUAC